UAUUUAUGUAAGGAUCACAUCUAACAAGCAUUUCCGACAGACUGCUAAAUUCAUUGAAGCAGAAUAACCUCUAGCCCAGCUUCAUUGGCUGUGCUGGUGUUGUAGGAAGGAUGAUUUGGCUCAUUACAUAGCAUCCUUAGCUGCAGUGGUUUGCUAAGCAUCUGAAUGUGGAGCCAGGAGGUCGGGUGUUCAACUGGAGCUCAUACCCAGUGCUAACAGAUGGGGGAAGUUCCAGUCGUGAUGGCAGUAUAUUUUAAUGGUGAGGUAAUUUACAAUGUCUGUUAAGUUGUCUGCUGCCCUAAGCAUGAGAAAAUAAAGUGGAAGCUAAAAACCCCAAGGAAGACCUUUCAGAAAAUAGCCUAAUGGUCUGGUCAGUUCUUCUUUGGCUGUUUUUAUUAAGGACUUUUAUUUAAUGGAGGAGCUAAUAAGUGGCUGUAUUGUAUUUCAGAGCAAAUAACACCACUGGACUUCAGAUUUGAGACUUGGGUCUCCUGACAAACCUUAUGAAAGGUUGAUAUAGUCAUAUUCAUUUUCAGUAAUGAAUGAUUGGUUUCUUAAAGCAUGACAUAGAAGACCUUUUUGAGCUCUAGAAGGACUCACAUUGACUUGCAAUGAGGUUGCACCUAUGCCCUGGGUCUCCACUCGAGGUUCUGGGAAGCAGAAGGAGCUGGAGCACCCAGGGGACCUGGGCCGUAAUCCCCUGCCUGCCCUGCCACCACCUGUGAUGUUGGGCCAGCGCUUUAACCUCAGCUUCUUCCCUCAUACAGUGGUGUAGUGAUGCCUUAUGAAGAUGAAGAAGAGAGUUAAUCAGGCUAGUUGGCGAAGCUGUUGGAGGUGCAGCCUGAAUGGUUCCUGCUGGAUCAACAAGACACCUGUCCAGACUGCUGCUGCAGCAUCAAAAUCUUCUUGAUUCAAACAAGUACCAAAACAUUUUGGACCAGUUUGCCUGUGUUGGGUGUGGGAAGCCAGGAGCAUCAUCCAGAGCUGGCCGCGUGGGUGCUGCUGGCCUCGGGCUGACACCGGACGGGGGGGUGCAUUGCUCACGCGUAUGCUGACCAUUGGCUUCUCCAGCCUGGGCUUGGACCGAGCGAUAGAGAAGGCAGCUCUGGUUCCACCCAGUCUCUAAAGGAUUUGAUGUAUCUUGCUGCCAAAAGCAAACAGCGUAAAUCAUCUCUGAGUGCAGAGCUGUCUGGCUUCCUUGGAGGGAAAGUGCAGUCAGGGUGGGGCAAGAGGACACCAGGGUGCAAUGCUGCCUGUAGGCUGGUGUGGUACAAAAUCCUCCCCAAGAUUUCAGCCCAGUAAAACUUGGAAGGUGGGUGGCUCUGUCACGGUGAUGCCUAGUGGUUUCUUAGAAGAGAAGGUGCCUGGGGAUUGCUGCUGGGGUGCUCCUGCGCAGAGCUCGGGGUGACCUAGGGGUUUAUCCUGCUUUCAUUGUGAUGUGUGUGCGUGUUUAUGAAAUCCAUCACCCUGGGUGAUGUCAUGACAUGAUGAGAAACUGGGUUGUAAAUUAAAGGAAGAAGAGAAAAAAAAAGACCCCACUGUGGGUCAGAUGCUGGCAAUAAAUUCAGAUAACAGCUCA